UACGGAGGGUCCGAGCGUUAUCCGGAAUCAUUGGGUUUAAAGGGUCCGUAGGCGGACCUGUAAGUCAGUGGUGAAAUCUCCCCGCUCAACGGGGAAACUGCCAUUGAUACUGCAGGUCUUGAAUUAUUGGGAAGUAACUAGAAUAUGUAGUGUAGCGGUGAAAUGCUUAGAGAUUACAUGGAAUACCGAUUGCGAAGGCAGGUUACUACCAAUACAUUGACGCUGAUGGACGAAAGCAUGGGUAGCGAACAGG
rnacentral:rRNA from 1 species